rnacentral:lncRNA from 1 species
GCUCAUGGCCCAGGUCCUGGCCUGCAGCAGUUUCACCCUCCGGAAUUCAGCACCAAGUCCCGGAUUCUCAGCUCCGGCUUCAGGGCCACGCACCUUAUACACCUUAUUGUGAUCUUCUCCCUGCAGCUGCCUCUGCUUUCUGCAAUUGUUCAUUGCACCCCCUGUCGUGUAGCCCUGAGGAGAGCUUCUCAGAGCCUCGCUGGCCUCAGAGCGCACCAAGAACAGUAGACUCAGAGUUUGGAAAAGCCUUUCUGAUUGGUAUGCUGAGAUUUAAUUUUCCUCUUCCCUCUUUUUUUACCUCUCCUCUCGGUCUUUCUGCAUGAGGUUGAUCCAGGAGCAGCCGGAAGUGGAGCCAGAAGCUGACCCUCACUACUUACCUCCAUCAGCGAGCUGGAAACUGCCUUCUCCAGCAGCCCCAGAACAGAUCAGAGACAGAGUCCAGGACUGGAAAACAGCUCAUCUAGGUCAUCUGCUCCCCGCUGCCUUGGCCACAUGA